UUUUUCAUUUCUUUCUUAAAAAACAACUUUUACUUUGUUGUAAAUUAGAUAUUAACUACAUUUGUUAAACAGUUACAAAAUAUUAUUUACAUUCUUUAAAUUGUUCGAUAAACGUGCAGCAUUCAUUUUGUGAGGCUUCCAUCUUUAAUAGGAUCGUCUUCUCCAACUAAAUUAAGCUUAAGCAAACAUACAAGAGCCUUGUUCAACGAAUCGUCUAUUUUUUCCCAAUACGAGCUGGCGCAUUUUUGGUCUUGAAACCAUGGUUUAAAAAAAAAUCGAAUGCGAACAAAUAAAAAAGUCACUUCAAAAUUGUACCUCAAAAAUCUAGGGGGUAUUUUCGAGUCGUUUUCCAGAGGGGGAUAAUCUGGACCCUCGUCAACAGCUAUGCUUCAAUGUGAAAUAGAUAUUAGUUUAUCCACAAAUGAUUAAUAAAAACUUAGAAAAUAUUAUGCGCAUCACAA